AGAGCUGAAUAGGGCCACCUGGGCUCAAUCAGCUAAUUAUGCUGCAAACAGGGCAGCUUUAGGCUGGAGGCAGCUAAUUACAGAGAGGCUCCCCUGUGCAGGAACAGGCAGGGCCUAUAAAUCCAGGUAGCAGCCUAGAGACUAGGCUGCCGGGAAAGGCUGCAGGAAGGUAGGCAGCUGUUACUCCCUGCAAAGAGGUUUCUUGGAGCUGAUACACCCAGCGAGUGAAGGGGAACUAAAAUGGUUGGAAGUAGUUUAGGAAAGGAGCUGUGAGGACAGACAGAGAAAGCCCAGGGCUGCUAAGCUGAAGGUCCCUGGACUGGUACCCAGAAAAGAGAGUAGGCCUGGGUUUUCCUACAGCCACCAAGAGUGUGGCAUGGAAAUGAGGCAGUGAGUGGGAAGACUGCCUGUGAUUGUUGAUGGACUGGACCCUGGAAGGGAAAUGCUGAGUGACCUAGACAGAGGGCUACAUCACAAAGGAAACACUGAGAGUCCUGGAGUGAGAGGAGCUGCACACCAGAGUCAGAGUGAAGGUGUGUAAACCAUGGACAGGGGCGUCAGCCUUGAGAGCUAAUGCCCAGAGGAGGAGGCGCCAGCCCAGCGGUGUGUGGUGCACCCUGUGACAGGGAUGCUGUAGUACGAUAUGUGUAGGAAUUUUGGGAACUCUACUUUCAGGAAGCGCUUGAUACGAUAGAGUGGUAUACGUGGAGGAAGGAAUAAAGACUGAAUGUUGCACUGUCUUGGCUCCCUCUGUUUUUAUGCUCAGACACUGAACACAAGAGGGAGUGGCCCAUGGAUAGUUCUGAAUGAAGCAGCUUCUGGAGCUCCAGGGCCUCCUAAAUCAUCUCUCACUAUAAGCCAGCAUGGAGCCCUUCUCGUGUCCUGCUUUCCCUUGCAGAUUUUUGACGGGUCGCUUCUUGUUCCCCCUCCUCCUCCACAGCAAAGCACUGCUGAGUGGUGAGGAUGCACCAAUAUUUUCUUCAUUAUGGUAGUGCAGAUUCCACUGAACUGAUAGGAGAAAGAAGGCGCUAGACUGCUUGGGAUUCAUGUUUAAGCAUAUCUGAGCAAACACAACAUGAGACAUAUAUGAGCUGUGAGGUAUUUAAGCUGCAUAACUGCUCCUUGGACUUCCUAUUUUUCUACAGCACUCUUCAACUACUUUUGUGGCCGCAUAUUCCAUUAUUGCUAAGCUUUUAUAUGAAUUGUAGGGGCACCACCUAAUGGUAAAUAUUAAAUGGUACAACUCAAAAUUGUGCUAAAUAUUAAAUGGUA